AUUGAACGCUGGCGGCAGGCCUAACACAUGCAAGUCGAGCGAGCGGCGGACGGGUGAGUAAUGUAUGGGGACUGCCCGAUAGAGGGGGAUAACUACCGGACACGGUAGCUAAUACCGCAUACUAUCGGAUAACCCAUAUGGGAUUAGCUAGUAGGUGAGGUAAUGGCUCACCUAGGCGACGUUCCCUAGCUGGUCUGAGAGGAUGAUCAGCCACACUGUGGCUGAGACGCGGCCCAGACUCCUACGGAGGCGGCAGUUGUGAAUAUUGGACAUGUGGCGCAAGCCUGAUGCAGCCAUGCCGCGUGUAUGAAGAAGGCCCUAGGGUUGUAAAGUACUUUCAGUCGGGAGGCGUUACCGACAGAGAAAGCACCUACUAACUCCGUGCCAGCAGCCGCGGUAAUAC
rnacentral:rRNA from 1 species